rnacentral:rRNA from 1 species
GACGAACGCUGGCGGCGUGCUUAACACAUGCAAGCCGAACGCUGAAGCUCAGCUUUUGUUGGGUGGAUGAGUGGCGAACGGGUGAGUAACACGUGAGUAACCUGCCCCCUUCUUUGGGAUAACGCCCGGAAACGGGUGCUAAUACUGGAUAUUCACUGGUCUUCGCAUGGGGGUUGGUGGAAAGGGUUUUUCUGGUGGGGGAUGGGCUCGCGGCCUAUCAGCUUGUUGGUGGGGUGAUGGCCUACCAAGGCUUUGACGGGUAGCCGGCCUGAGAGGGUGACCGGUAACAUUGGGACUGAGAUACGGCCCAGACUCCUACGGGAGGCAGCAGUGGGGAAUAUUGCACAAUGGGCGCAAGCCUGAUGCAGCGACGCCGCGUGAGGGAUGGAGGCCUUCGGGUUGUGAACCUCUUUCGCUCAUGGUCAAGCCGCAACAAUGGUUGUGGUGAGGGUAGUGGGUAAAGAAGCGCCGGCUAACUACGUG